rnacentral:rRNA from 1 species
UACGAGGGGGGCAAGCGUUGUUCGGAAUUACUGGGCGUAAAGCGCACGUAGGCGGAUUUGUAAGUCAGGGGUGAAAUCCCGGGGCUCAACCUCGGAACUGCCUUUGAUACUGCAAAUCUCGAGUCCGGAAGAGGUGAGUGGAAUUCCUAGUGUAGAGGUGAAAUUCGUAGAUAUUAGGAAGAACACCAGUGGCGAAGGCGGCUCACUGGUCCGGUACUGACGCUGAGGUGCGAAAGCGUGGGGAGCAAACAGG